GUGAUGUAUGUGAUCUGUUGCUUGAGUAAGUAGGGGGAAGGGAAGGGAGGUAUGCAUUGUACUGAGUAAAUUGGCAUUAAUCUAGGUUCUGUUUAAGGGAAGUGAAGUAGUGAAAUUUUGAUUUAGGAGUCAUUGGCAUAUUUGGAAUGUUGGGGCAUCUUAGGCAAGUCAAAUGUGACUUGUAGGGCGCAUUAGAGUGGUCUAAAACCUGUUCAUAACGAGAUAAUUGAAAUGGGGUCUUUUAGUGGAGCAAUUUGGUGUUAUAGGGUGGGAAAUAUACUUUGAUCAUCCUAGAAUUGUAGUAAGAAGGUUUGGGAACGUCUAGACAGGAUUAAUUAGGUCUAAAACAAGAAUUUGAGAUGUUAGAAGUUGAGGAAAGUGAGUGAAAUUGGUAAAAAGGGAUUGAGAGACGCAUAAUUCUGUAGAUUAUGAAAUCUCGCUAUGCGGAUGGUUUCGCAUAGCGAGACCUUGGAAAGGGUGCUCUCUGUCUUGCGAUUCGCAUAGCGCAUCAUUGUCGCGAUGCGACUGGGAGAAACUGAGAUUUUAUG
rnacentral:lncRNA from 1 species